rnacentral:lncRNA from 1 species
AUGCCCCGCUACGUCCCCCUUCUGCUGCUCCUGCUUCUCCUGAGGUGUUCAGAACGGGGUGGAGGAGUUAAUUUUGGUGAGAAGGAUGCAAAAGUCCCCGGGACCUGGAGAGAUGGAGUCAGGGUCCCUGGAGAAGGAGCCUCUUGGGACUCAGACAGGGCCAGUCCCGAGCGAAGGUACGGAAUAGUAGGACUAAGCCAAAGCAUUUCCACUAAGCACCCAGAGACCAGCCCUAAAGACUCAAGAAUAAGAGAAAAUGAUGUAACUGCAGAUGGAAGGACCACUGAGGACCACAUCACUGCAGACCCAGGGACCACCGAGGACUCUGUCACUGCAGACCCAGGGACCACUGAGGACAAUGUGACUGUGGACCCAGGGACCACCGAGGGCUCUGUCACUGCAGACCCAGCGACCACCAAGGACUAUGUGUCUGCAGACCCAGGGACCACCAAGGAUUCUGUCACUGCAGACCCAGGGACCACUCACUGAGAACUUUGUCACUGCAGACCCAGGGACCACCAAGGACUCCAUCACUGCAGACCCAAGGACCACAGAGGACUCCGUCACUGCAGACCCAGGGACCACCAAACACUCCAUCACUGUAGACCCAGGGACCACUGAGGACUCUGUCACUGCAGACCCAGGGACCACCAAACACUCCAUCACUGCAGACCCAGGGACCACCGAGGACUCCGUCACUGCAGACCCAGGGACCACAGAAGAUGAAACCACUAAACAUGGUGACACUCACCUUCUGUGA